rnacentral:lncRNA from 10 species
UAGCAAAGGUCGAACUUGGUAAACAGGCCUUUCUAAGGAUACCCAGACUCAGGACUGCUGAAAUGAGCGCUGUCUGCACACCAGGUGGUGGGAGUUUGUUGUGACAGGUACUAGAGAUUCACUCUGCAAAGAGCAUUUGGGGCAACGCAGCAGCACAACUGACUCCCUGGACCCACCACAGAGAGGGUGGUCCUCCUCUGUGGCUGGCUCUCUGAGUAGGUCAGUUCUCACACUGGAACUGCUGCGAGGGAGGAAGUGCGUGUAGAUAGGAG